rnacentral:tRNA from 1 species
GCCUUGGUGGUGAAAUGGUAUACACAGUUGAUUCAAAAUUAAUAGCUUCUUUUAAAAGCGUGGAGGUUCGACUCCUCUUCAAGGCA